CAAUAGCGUAUAUUAAAGUUGUUGCGGUUAAAAAGCUCGUAGUUGGAUUUCUGCUGAGGACGAUCGGUCCGCCCUCUGGGUGAGUAUCUGGCUCGGCCUUGGCAUCUUCUUGGAGAACGUUACUGCACUUGACUGUGUGGUGCGGUAUCCAGGACUUUUACUUUGAGGAAAUUAGAGUGUUUCAAGCAGGCGCACGCCUUGAAUACAUUAGCAUGGAAUAAUAAGAUAGGACCUUGGUUCUAUUUUGUUGGUUUCUAGAGCUGAGGUAAUGAUUAAUAGGGAUAGUUGGGGGCAUUCGUAUUUAACUGUCAGAGGUGAAAUUCUUGGAUUCGUUAAAGACGGACUACUGCGAAAGCAUUUGCCAAGGAUGUUUUCAUUGA
rnacentral:rRNA from 1 species